rnacentral:lncRNA from 1 species
CAUGGUGCAGGUCUGUGCAGCCCAGCACAGCAGCCAGAGUAAUGGAAGUACAUCCAGCUGAAUUUCCAAGGUGUUCCAUGCAAUAUGGUUAAUUAACCCUGCCAGUUCCACUGGUUGGUCUUUACACAUGCUCCUGCCUCUACUUCAGUCAGGGCCAGCUGGGUGAGUUGGCCACAGAAGCAGUACAAACAUGUUUUGCAUUGCAAAAGACUGGACAGAAGUCUCACUGAAGGAAUAAAAAUCCCCAACAUAAUCCUCAGCAACAAAAACACCUCCAGGAAUUAA